UGCAGUUGAGCGCUGAAGGUUGGUACUUGUACCGACUGGAUGAGCAGCGAACGGGUGAGUAACGCGUGGGGAAUCUGCCUUUGAGCGGGGGACAACAUUUGGAAACGAAUGCUAAUACCGCAUAAAAACUUUAAACACAAGUUUUAAGUUUGAAAGAUGCAAUUGCAUCACUCAAAGAUGAUCCCGCGUUGUAUUAGCUAGUUGGUGAGGUAAAGGCUCACCAAGGCGAUGAUACAUAGCCGACCUGAGAGGGUGAUCGGCCACAUUGGGACUGAGACACGGCCCAAACUCCUACGGGAGGCAGCAGUAGGGAAUCUUCGGCAAUGGACGAAAGUCUGACCGAGCAACGCCGCGUGAGUGAAGAAGGUUUUCGGAUCGUAAAACUCUGUUGGUAGAGAAGAACGUUGGUGAGAGUGGAAAGCUCAUCAAGUGACGGUAACUACCCAGAAAGGGACGGCUAACUACGUGCCAGCAGCCGCGGUAAUACGUAGGUCCCGAGCGUUGUCCGGAUUUAUUGGGCGUAAAGCGAGCGCAGGUGGUUUAUUAAGUCUGGUGUAAAAGGCAGUGGCUCAACCAUUGUAUGCAUUGGAAACUGGUAGACUUGAGUGCAGGAGAGGAGAGUGGAAUUCCAUGUGUAGCGGUGAAAUGCGUAGAUAUAUGGAGGAACACCGGUGGCGAAAGCGGCUCUCUGGCCUGUAACUGACACUGAGGCUCGAAAGCGUGGGGAGCAAACAGGAUUAGAUACCCUGGUAGUCCACGCCGUAAACGAUGAGUGCUAGAUGUAGGGAGCUAUAAGUUCUCUGUAUCGCAGCUAACGCAAUAAGCACUCCGCCUGGGGGAGUACGACCGCAAG
rnacentral:rRNA from 1 species